rnacentral:rRNA from 1 species
UACGGGGGGAGCAAGCGUUGUUCGGAUUUACUGGGCGUAAAGGGCGCGUAGGCGGCCACCGCAAGUCAGUUGUGAAAUCUCUGGGCUUAACCCAGAAAGGUCAACUGAUACUGCGGGGCUAGAGUGCAGAAGGGGCAACUGGAAUUCUCGGUGUAGCGGUGAAAUGCGUAGAUAUCGAGAGGAACACCUGCGGCGAAGGCGGGUUGCUGGGCUGACACUGACGCUGAUGCGCGAAAGCGUGGGUAGCAAACAGG